rnacentral:rRNA from 1 species
AACGAACGCUGGCGGCAGGCCUAACACAUGCAAGUCGAGCGCGCCCUUCGGGGUGAGCGGCGGACGGGUGAGUAACGCGUGGGAACGUGCCCUUUUCUACGGAAUAGCCUCGGGAAACUGAGAGUAAUACCGUAUACGCCCUUUGGGUGAAAGAUUUAUCGGACAAGGAUCGGCCCGCGUUGUAUUAGGUAGUUGGUGGGGUAAUGGCCUACCAAGCCGACGAUCCAUAGCUGGUUUGAGAGGAUGAGCCGCCACACUGGGACUGAGACACGGCCCAGACUCCUACGGGAGGCAGCAGUGGGGAAUCUUAGACAAUGGGGGCAAUCAUGAUCGAGCCAUGCCGCGUGAGUGAUGAAGGCCUUAGGGUUGUAAAGCUCUUUCAGCUGGGAAGAUAAUGACGGUACCAGCAGAAGAAGCCCCGGCUAACUCCGUG